CACACACACACACACACACAGACCAAUUUUCCCUUUCAGGCCUGAUCUUAAAGCAAAAAGAUCUUGCAUAGGCUGAACUAACAAUAAAAGGCUCCAGAAGGAGCUGCCCAGGGAAUUCUGGUCCACACCAAUAUGGGCAUAGCCAUGGGGCUAGCAGGAGAUCGUUAAUAUCUACUGGUAUCCCUCUACCCCCCACCUCCCCCAAAGUAACUCAGAAAGGUAAAGCUGGGUUGGAUCUUACUGCAAGGAUUCUAAGUCCCUUGGAGGUACAGGACUACUUCUAAACAACUGUGGGUGCUUCAGUUGGCUACAAACAGGCAUGUGGCCUAAAGGCUAAAAAUCAUCUCUUUCUAGGGUCCCCCUGUCUGCCCUGUCAAUUCCCUGCAUCUUGGCGUGGUUUGAAUUGUCCUCUCUCACCCCAGCCCAGCUUCCUUAGGGCACAAGGGCAUGGCUGGCUGUGUCCUCUGGUGGCCCAUCCAGGUCCAGAGCUCCGUGGGGGAGAGCUGCUGACUCCCCAUCCAGCAGGAGGAGAGGUGAGUCUCAGGUUUCUGGAGGUCACCUGAGGUAGAGGUCAGUUCCUGGUUUGGGUGGCUCCCUCUAGCUAAUAGGCUAGAGGCAGCAACAGAAAAGGGAGAGAGCCAGACCAGCCCAAAAUAGAACACCAAUCUGACCAAGCUGAGAUCUUGCUGAAUAUGGCCCAUCAGAGGAGACAGGGCAAGAGAGUAGAAGUGGAUACAAGAUGAGAGGGGUGGUGAGAAAAGGGCUUCCUGGAAAAUGGGAAUUAUGAAAAUAAUAUUCAGAUACAAACCUCAUGGGCUUGUCCUAUAAACAGGAGAGGCUGCAAACUUUUCACAGUACAGAGCAUUUAAGACCCUGAGUUUCUGGGGACAAGUCUGUCUGUUGCUGGUAAUUAGCAUGCUGCUGUGUAGUUUAUUCCACAGAGACAAAGAGCAAUGAUUCCAUCUCACCUUGUAGACGAGGCAGUGAGUGAGGACCUUUAGCAGAGAAAACCCACGCUUUGGAAUGUAAAAGUUCAGCUGACAAAGACAGCACAAGAAAUCAUCCUCUGCACGACCCCAUCUAUUCCUGACCCCCUUGGUCAAGGUGGCUGUUACCUUAGAGGACAACUGGGCAUUUCCUCAUCAGCUUAUGGGAUGAUCUGCCUUUUUGUGUCCUCAGAGGUAAAGGGAUGCACGGUGGUGCCAAAACCUAUGGCCAGGCAUCUCGGUCACUGUGUGCCAGUGAUUCUUCUAUAAAGCAAAAGAUUCAAAGGCUGUGUCAGUCUGGCUGAGCAGAGAGAUGCAGCAGACAGUUGAGCCUUUGCUAGACAAUGAAAAUUGGUAAGGGAGGAACAGAGAAAGAAUGGAGAGGGAGGAGACAGAAAAAGAGGGGAGGUCCAGGAUUCCCAAGGAGAGGGGGUUUCCUUUCUCUUUCCCGGAGCCUCCAGGGAGGAAUAAAUAUAAUUAUCAACCUAGCAUGACACCAUACGAAACAAAAGAGGUACCUGCCAGGUGACCAUCUCUGCCGGGACUCGAACCCGGAACCUCUGGAUUAGAAGUCCAGCGCGCUCGUCCAUUGCGCCACAGAGACCUCACCACACACACAGCAUCAGCACCAGAACUGAAAAAGCACAUACCUUCUGCAUCACCGAGCCAUCUCAGCAUCCUGCUCUCUGAGCGGUGGGGGGGGACAGGGACAGCUGGAAAAUCUGGAGUGGAGAUCCACCAGCCGGCUCCAUCAAAGCUUUUCUCAGUACCGUGGGUCCCUGGGUCCUCAGAGGAUUGGAGGAACAUGGUGGUGAUCAUUUUCCCAGCCCCAGAAUCUCUGACGAAGUAGGACAGAGCCAGAGCCUUUGCUCUUCUUUCCUCUCCAUCCCUAAGGGAGGCUAGGGAGAAGUCUUUCUAUUCUCAUGCUAAUUAAGCAGCGGAGAAAACCGGAGCCUUCUCUACCUCCACCCCCCUCUGUCUCACUGUGGUUUCAUCCCGGUCCAGCUCUUCUCAGACAGGGGCUAGGCAAAGCUGGGAGAUUCAGAGAAACCCUGGAUCCCCCCUGAUCCCGAGACAAAGGAGCUGCUUCCGUAAAGAAACAGUGUGAACCGGCGGCAGAUACCCGCAGGGAAGCUGAGCUGCGGGAGACCAGCUGGUCCAGUUCUCAGCUUUGAGAGCUGAAUCUGUCAGGCUCCGGGGAAGAGGUGCCAGGAAGAGACACAUUAAGGGACAACUGGCCUCUAUACUUCCAACGACAAUGCACUGAUUUGAAGACUUUGACUCAGUGUUCAUGACCCCAUUCUUACACGAGGUUGCAAAAAGAGCAGAGCACCGGGUCAGCUGGCCCCUCUCCUCCCUCAGUGUGUGCUCCGAGGGUCCACAGCUCUGGACACUGCCCAUGGCCUCUGAUCAUAAUGUGAGACCCCAGUGAUGGACAAGAGAAGAACAACACGACAAUAUGAACAGCUUCAAUUAGAAGAUCUUUAAGGGCCCUUCUAAGCCUAAGACUGUAUCUGAAUGCACCAUCUCAUACUUCCCUACCCAUUCUUGUAGCCCAAAGAAGGGAACCUGGGAGAGAGCAAGACCAAGGUAAUUUAAUCAGGUUGGGAUGCAAAGGGAAGACCCUAACGCUUGGGGAAAGCAGCCACUCCAACCAGCUAGCCUUCCAUCUAGGACCUAGAGAUGGAGCUCAGAAAAACUGGGGAUUGGUGUAUGCACACAGGGGUAUAUGGAAUGACCAGCCAACAGGGACCUGCUGAAUAGCACAGGGAACUACCCAAUAUUCUGUGAUAAUUUAUGUGGGAAAAAGAAUCUGAAAAAGAAUGGUUUGGGGUAUAUGCAUAACAGAAUCAUUUUGCUGUAGAGCAGAAAUUAUCAUAAUGUUGUAAAUCAACUAUACAUCAGUAAAACUUUUAAAAAUGAAAAAAAAA